CCUACGGGGGGCAGCAGUGAGGAAUAUUGGUCAAUGGACGAGAGUCUGAACCAGCCAAGUAGCGUGAAGGAUGACUGCCCUAUGGGUUGUAAACUUCUUUUAUAUGGGAAUAAAAUGUUCCACGUUUGGGAUUUUGUAUGUACCAUAUGAAUAAGGAUCGGCUACCUCCGUCCCAGCAGCCGCGGUAAUCCGGAGGAUCCGAGCGUUAUCCGGAUUUAUUGGGUUUAAAGGGAGCGUAGGUGGAUUGUUAAGUCAGUUGUGAAAGUUUGCGGCUCAACCGUAAAAUUGCAGUUGAAACUGGCAGUCUUGAGUACAGUAGAGGUGGGCGGAAUUUGUGGUGUAGCGGUGAAAUGCUUAGAUAUCACGAAGAACUCCGAUUGCGAAGGCAGUUCACUGGACUGCAACUGACACUGAGGCUCGAAAGUGUGGGUAUCAAACAGGAUUAGAUACCCGGGUAGUC
rnacentral:rRNA from 1 species